rnacentral:rRNA from 1 species
UACGUAGGUGGCAAGCGUUGUCCGGAAUUAUUGGGCGUAAAGCGCGCGCAGGCGGCCUUUUAAGUCUGAUGUGAAAGCCCACGGCUCAACCGUGGAAGGUCAUUGGAAACUGAAAGGCUUGAGUACAGAAGAGGAAAGCGGAAUUCCACGUGUAGCGGUGAAAUGCGUAGAGAUGUGGAGGAACACCAGUGGCGAAGGCGGCUUUCUGGUCUGUAACUGACGCUGAGGAGCGAAAGCGUGGGGAGCGAACAGG